rnacentral:piRNA from 1 species
UAGAGCGUACUUCUUUGGCAUUCUGGC